UGCCCAGCAACUCCUAUCCCUACCUCCUCGCGGUACUGCCGGGUACGAGUAAUCUUAGGAAGAUCGAGUAAUCACCCCCGGUAGGAACUUUGUCGUAUGCUGACAGGGAAGG
rnacentral:ribozyme from 1 species